rnacentral:rRNA from 1 species
GUAGUCUGCAACCCGACUACAUGAAGCCGGAAUCGCUAGUAAUCGCGAAUCAGAAUGUCGCGGUGAAUACGUUCCCGGGUCUUGUACACACCGCCCGUCACACCAUGGGAGUCGGAAAUGCCCGAAGUCAGUGACCCAACCGUAAGGAGGGAGCUGCCGAAGGUGGAGCCGGUAACUGGGGUGAAGUCGUAACAAGGUACC